ensembl:lncRNA
CGUAUUAAUGAAAAUUGCCAUUGUGAGGCAGAUAAGGCUUAAUAACAGCGCUCUCAUUGUGCUCUGUGAGCUGGGCGCGCUGUGCGGCGGAUGCAGAGCUUGGUGCUGGCGCUCAGCCCGACACCACUCCCAGUGCCACCAGAGCCCCAGUUUGCCGGGGCAAAGCCUGGGCAGGCGUUGCUGCUCCGCCAUGUAUCCCUGCUCCCAAGCACACAGCCCUCCUGCCGCCUUGCUUAUCGUGCAAUUUAAUACUUUUAUUUUCACUCCAGGUAUCGGUUUAAAAAAAUGGCUCUGACUUUUUAGAGCCUGGUUAUCCUUCAGUAUCCUGCAUUUUGUAAAUGGGCAAUGGGUUGGCAUGGGAAGGGAGGUUUAAUUUCUUGCCCUUGUUUAUUUUGCCUGGGUGUCUUGGUGUUCCUGUUCUGCAAGCAUUGCACCGCUGAGGGCUUGCACUACUCAAUGGCUGUGCAUCCAUCUGUGCCCAUGGCCCGGAGAAGGAAUGGAGCUACUCGUACGAGUGCAGUCUGAAGAAACUGGCCCAUGAUAUGAGCACAGCCAGAAGGGAACCAGGCUUUAAACCCAAAAUGGGACCUCAAAUGGGAAAAGAAGCUUUCAAGCAGCAUGUCCAUGAAAAAUAAAUUAUGAAGAAAAAAAAAAAAAGAAAAAUAUUCAGAAAGUGUGAUCUGUGAUAUCAGUAUUUGGUGCGCAUCCUUUGCGAGCGCUUUUGUAGCGUUACCGAAGAUGCACGAAAGUGCAAAUUGUUCCCCAAAGCAGUAACGGUGUGAUCAAGGGAGAGAGGGGCUCUAUCCUGCUCUGCUCUCAGAAAAUGCUCACCCACAGACAGUGAACACUGCCACACACAUUUGUGUUUUGCCUACAAAGUUUUGCUCCCAGGAACGGUGCGUCCAUGUUGGACCGCAUGUCCACUGCUCAGUGCGCAGAGAUCUGCUCCAUAAGGACACACAGGACAAAUGAGAGAUGUUUUUAAAACAUGGAAACUGUCCUGAAAAGUGUGUUUUCUACAGAUAUGUGCAGAUUCCAAUGGUAACUUGGUGUCCUUGAAGAGCUUUCCAGCACUCUGGGCUAUACUGCUCCAAUAAGUACUACAAAUCCUCUGGUGCUUCAGAGUGCUCCAACUCAUUUCUAUGAGUACUGUCUUGGAGCUUGUUUGUGGACCACAUUUAUCACAUCACCAACAAUUAUCACAGCCCUUAAAUCCCCCCAAAACACACACCAAUAUUUACAAGAAUUGAUUCUGGGAUCAAUACAUCUGUGAAUUUUCUAUCACUAAAGGUAGCACGUUGAGAAAGGGUAAUGCUGCUUCAUUUAUAGCCUGAAAACACUUUUAGAAGUGUAAGUGACGUGCUUCCAGAUUGAGGACUGAACGUAAAAGUUACAAACAAAACCACAACGAAAGACUAAAGCCAAGGGCAACAAACAGUGGAAUGAGAGAAGCAUUGUAAGGAGCUGAAAUUAAUUUCUGACAGCGUUCCCCCAGUCUGCCAGCAUUUAAAAGAGGCCUUGCUCAUCUGGAUGCUGCAUUUUACAGCCAUUUCUCAACCCGUUCUCUCUACAGCUCGGGCAGAGCAGUGCUGAGCGUGAGUCUGCACCACUGUGCUCCUCUGCUCACAGCUCUGCAACAUACCAGGAGGAUCAUCCCCAGCCCUCUGCUGCGUUCAUCCCUGGCUUUGCAACGGCGGCACAGACACACAGGGAGCGACGCUCACACGGCACCAGGAGUGUUUUCUUUCCACAGCUGGUGGGACCUCUGUGCGUAGGACUGGAGAGCCCCAAAGAGAAUCCAAUUUUCCAUCUGAUCUUGGAGACGAGGACAUGAGGGUGCCAAGGGAAGAACGUGCUCUUCCAACACCUCUGGGAGGAAGGGAUGCUCCACACAAAAGCAGAAGUUUCUUUCAGAGGUCGUGACAUUAAUAUCUCCCAAAUUGCCCCCAUAAGAUUGUGGGGACAUCUGCGUAGCUUAAGCAGAGUCAUUGCUUCCAGCAAGUUCUUGUCGCACCAGAGCUUGUCAUUUAAGGCACUGAAAUGGAGGUCUCCUCUCACCUAGGAUGAGUGGAGGGAGGAGAUGUGGCUGUGUGUGGGCAUCUGGGCCAACUAGAUGGGUCAGCAGCUGGGUUUGUCAGACAUAAUUCCAGAUGAGAUGAACCUUUAAGUCAGAGCAGAUAUUGGAUGAGUAUCUCAUUGUGGAGCCCUCACAGAAUAUUGAAGGCUCUUAGUUCCCAUUCCCUGAGGUUAGACCAAGAAACACAAAGCGGAAAACCUGGGCAUCCCUGACAGAGGAUGUGGGGGACAGGUAACAAAGAAAGGCCAUCAGUGUUAAAAGCAGCCCAAUACUCCUCAGAAACAUGUCUGUACAAGAAACUGAGUAUUGUCUGUGCAGCAUUAGGGUAAAAGUAACGGCAAAUUAAAGAAGAAUAAGAGACAGGGCUGUGCUCAUGGGCUGAAUAUCAGGAUAUCAGGAAAAACUUCUGGAUAUCAGGAAAAGCUUCUUUACAGAAAGGGUUGUUAAGCACUGGAAUAGGCUCCCCAGAGAGAUGGUUGAGUCACCAUUCCUGGAUGUGUUUAAAAACCAUUUGGAUGUGGUGCUCAGGGACGUGAUUUAGAGGAGGGUUGUUAGAGUUAGGGUAGUAUGGUUAGGUUGUGGUUGGACUCGAUGAUCUUUAAGGUCUUUUCCAACCUGAGCAAUUCUGUGAUUCUAUGAUUCUAUUCUAUGAAUGCACACUGCUGAAAUGAUGAGUGCAAAGUUUUUCUCCUUUUGCUGCCACAGUUCAGUUAAGACCUGUUUGUGGGAGGCUGUAAGCACCAUCACUGAUCUACAAGUAAAUGAGAGGGCUCUAAUGCCUGCCAAGCAUCCUGGAUCAUUUGACUUUUAAGGCUUGAAAGGACCUGGGACUGCUGAUAGAGGAGGGCAAAAUUGUUUCAUUCUUUGAAUGCAAUCUGAAGCCUCUCCAAAGCAUUAAGUACCACCAUAGGGUUAAAAAAAACCCCAUCUCGGAAGUCAGUCUGCAGAUUUCUGCCAUGGAAGACAGAAAGCACGAGCUUCAGUGCUGCAGAGCCAGGUUUCACAUGCCAAGGCUGUAAGAGCAUUUUACAGCUCCAGUGAGCAAACAGCACUACACCUGAUGACACAGGAGGUGAUGUCUGUCUGGUUACUUACACGCCGAAGUCUGAUUCAGUCCUUCAGGGGAACUCAGGCUGGGAAAUAUGGAACGCUGGGGACUGAAAGGUAGCCAGGAGAAACAGGCAGUGCUUGUGCCAGAGUAGGCAGGGCAGGGCUCACAGCAGGGCUGCACAGAACACUGGAUUACUCUCUGUAAGCACUGACACCCAGGCAAUCCUCACUGCCUUCCGCCUGAAGUACACAGAUGAAUCUUGGGCAUCUGGAUAGUAAAUGACAGAGAUAAGGAAGACACAUAUAUAAAGGAACUAACAAACUUGUUACGCUACAGAGCUCAUCACGCUGAGAUGUGUCCAGGACUUCUCUGAAUGAAUCAUAGAAACAGAAUCAUCAUAGAACCAUUUGUGUUGGAAGAUACCCUUAAAGGUCAUCUGGUCCAACUCCCUGAAAUGAAGAGGGACACCUACAGCUCCAUCAGGUGCUCAGAGCCAUGUCCAGCCUGACCUUGGGUGUCUCCAGGGAUGGGGCAUCCACCACCUCUCUGGGCAACCUGUGCCAAUGCUUCAGCACAUUUAUUGUAAAAAACUCCUUUCUUUUAUGCAGUCUUAGUCUCCCCUCUUUUAGUCUGCAACCAUUUCUCCUUGUCCUAUCACAGAGACCCUGCUGAAAAGUCUGUCCCUUUCCUUCUUACAGCCCCUUUAGAUACUGAAAGGCCGCUAUCAGGUCUCCCCAGAGACGUCUCCAGGAAAUUUUAUUUUUAUUAAAACAACUUUCUCUAUAUAUUAUUUGAUUCUGCAGUGUGACAGUGCCCAAUCCAUGGCAGAACUCAGGCUGUAAGGUGUUUGCUGUGGGGUAAUGAUAUCAAGCUGGCCUACGGGCAGACAACCUCAUGGAGAGCUGCACAUUGCACAGGAGUUGCAAGCUACAGACUGGAACAACAAAGAACUGCAAAGCACACCUGCCCAUGGAUUAUGGAAGUGAUUUCAUGCUACCUGUCCAGAACAAAUAAAGUUGUAGUGUGCAAAGGAAGGGAAGACUGGAAGUGGGAAGCCUACAAAUACAGUUUUACUUCCAAUUUCACCUCCCAUAAGGCAUUUGCCUCUACGAACAAUUUCCUUUGAAGCCAAAGUGGUAAUUCCGUUGAAUCCAACAAGGGCUGACUUGAGCCCCAUCAACUUGAGAACAGGCAUUCUCACCCAUGGUAACGGUGCUCUGUCUCUACUGGAAAGCGGAACAUAAAUGUUUGCUAUCUCCAGGUUCCUUGACCUGACCAGAUGGGACCAUGCAGAGUAAAAGCAAAUUCUUCCCCUUCUUGAGGAAGGGAAGCUGUGUGGAAGUGAAAUAUCUGCUUGCUUUGGACUUUUCACUAAAGGACGAUGUAAAUGGGGGCACCUCAUAAAAUGCAAAUAUAACUUCUGAGUAAGGGGAAGAAGGGUUUGACUGUAUAGUCUUUCUGGAAACAAUUCCGGCAGAGGAUUAGGAGCUAUGGAUGGUAUUUCCAUAAGCCCUUGUUUUUGGCCUGACGAUGACUCCCAGAGAAGCUGAUGGUAAAUCUGCCAUUGUAUCCAAGAGGAACAGACUUGAGACAGCACUGAGCAAACUGAAGAUCCCAGCCUUUGACUCAGAAGUGUAAAUAUUUUGCCUUUAUAAGCAGAGAUUAGUAAAUUCAGGGACGUUAUUCAAAAUGCAAUUUGGUAGCUGCUUCGCUGAGCACUGUCCAUACACACUGAGCAUACUUAUCUCCCACGGCUUUAAGACGGCUCCGUGUUGUUAAGGAACAAGGAAAUAAAUCACAAAAGCGACAGCGAUCGGUGUCGUGGCGGAUAAUCUCUGCACAAAGGGGACAAACGGGUCACAGACGCAUUAUUCCCUUUGCGCCCCUGGGGAGGGCCCCCCAGGAAGGGUGCGUGGCUGUUGGGGUGGGUGCUAGGAGGUGCAGGCCCUGCUCCUGGCACAGGGGCCCGCUGCUGCCUGAGAGCUGCUAGCUCUGGCCUUGCGUGUUGCCCGUGUGCUGUUUCCAAAGCUGUUGGAAACCAGAGUUGGGGAGGAACAUAAAUCCAUGUUCGUGUCCGAAGUCAGAAAUAUUACUUCGUACGGAUGGAGUUUAAUCCACUCAGUAGAAAAGUCCCUGACUGAAAACGUAUCCAAUAAAGAUGUUCAGAGCUGCUUAACUGAGUCCGAGAGGGGAUUUUUGCAGUUUUUUAUUCAAUGUAUGUAGUGAGGAAUAAUGAUCAGGAGAUGAGUGCAACCUAUCUUAGCUUGUAGCUG